ACUCCUACGGGAGGCAGCAGUGGGGAAUAUUGCACAAUGGGCGCAAGCCUGAUGCAGCAACGCCGUGUGAGUGAAGAAAGGUUUUCGGUAUCGUAAAACUCUGUCCUAAGGGAAGAAAAAAUAGACGGUACCUUAGGAGGAAGCCCCGGCUAACUACGUGCCAGCAGCCGCGGUAAUACGUAGGGGGCGAAGCGUUAUCCGGAAUCACUGGGCGUAAAGGGUGCGUAGGCGGCUUGACAAGCCAGGGGUGAAAGGCAUUGGCUCAACCAAUGUAAGCCUUUGGAACUGUUAAGCUUGAGUGCAGGAGAGGUAAGUGGAAUUCCUAGUGUAGAGGUGAAAUUCGUAGAUAUUAGGAGGAACACCAGUGGCGAAGGCGACUUACUGGACUGUAACUGACGCUGAUGCACGAAAGCGU
rnacentral:rRNA from 1 species